rnacentral:rRNA from 1 species
GGACGAACGCUGGCGGCGUGCCUAACACAUGCAAGUCGAGCGGAGACAGACGGAAAGCUUGCUUCUGUCUGUUCAGCGGCGGACGGGUGAGUAACGCGUGAGCAACCUGCCUUUAACAGGGGAAUAACGCAUCGAAAGAUGUGCUAAUACCGCAUAAGACCACAGCAUCACAUGGUGCAGGGGUCAAAGGAGCAAUCCGGUUAAAGAUGGGCUCGCGUCCGAUUAGCUGGUUGGUGAGACAACAGCCCACCAAGGCGACGAUCGGUAGCCGACCUGAGAGGGUGAUCGGCCACAUUGGAACUGAGAUACGGUCCAGACUCCUACGGGAGGCAGCAGUGGGGAAUAUUGGGCAAUGGGCGAAAGCCUGACCCAACAACGCCGCGUGAGGGAGGAAGGGUUUCGGCUCGUAAACCUCUGUCCUAUGGGACGAAGGAAGUGACGGUACCAUAGGAGGAAGCCCCGGCUAACUACGUGCCAGCCGCGGC